rnacentral:lncRNA from 1 species
AGGACCCGGGCUGCGGGGCUCCGGGGCGUCUGGCCUGGGUGGGACUGAGCCCAUCCAGGGACUGGGACUCCGGGGUUCUGGUGUAGGUGGAUCCGGGGCAGGCUCAGGACCAAGUCCCUCUCCUUCCACCAAGGAGCGCCCAGAGGCCGGCGGGAGCUCCAGGUUCACCUCCUCCUCCUCCAGGAAAUCCCACUUCCAACUGGAUGUCUGGAUGAACUACUGAAAGCUGCUGAGUGUCCUGCAGCAGGUGAGCUGUGGCCAGAGCCCAAGGAUGAAGGGGGCUCCCUCACUCUGUGACUGUGAAGAGGAACCCUGAGGUGUAGCAGGCCCAGGCCCCAGAAGUAUGGAAAAAAUGAGGUAGGGAGGGAGGGGACCUCAGGAGAAGACUGAGGUCUACAGAAUCCCAGGGUCAAGGGGAUGGUGCGGUGUCCUGGCACUAUCCUUGAUGUUCCAAGAGGGGUGAGAAUCCAUCUCCUGAGUAAAAGCUUCACAUGGGGUGAGGAGGGGAGAAUUGAACAGAGAGGAAGCAGGGAAGGCCAAGACAGCGACCAGCCUUACAG